UCCCUUAGAUGUUCUGGGCUGCACGCGCGCUACACUGAAGCUAUCAACACGUUUUCCCUCCCUGAGAAGGGCGGGUAACCUUUUGAAUCAGCUUCGUGGUAGGGAUCGGGGCUUGCAAUUGUUCCCCGUGAACCAGGAAUUCCUAGUAGACGCGAGUCAUAAGCUCGCAUCGAUUAAGUCCCUGCCCUUUGUACACACCGCCCGUCGCUACUACCGAUUGAACGUUUUAGUGAGGCAUUUGGACCGACGCAUCUCAGUUUAACCGCUGGUUUGUGUUGGAAAGACUUCCAAACUUGAGCGUUUAGAGGAAGUAAAAGUCGUAACA
rnacentral:rRNA from 1 species